rnacentral:rRNA from 1 species
GACGAACGCUGGCGGCGUGCUUAACACAUGCAAGUCGAACGGAAAGGCCCUGCUUUUGUGGGGUGCUCGAGUGGCGAACGGGUGAGUAACACGUGAGUAACCUGCCCUUGACUUUGGGAUAACUUCAGGAAACUGGGGCUAAUACCGGAUAGGAGCUCCUGCUGCAUGGUGGGGGUUGGAAGGUUUCGGCGGUUGGGGAUGGACUCGCGGCUUAUCAGCUUGUUGGUGGGGUAGUGGCUUACCAAGGCUUUGACGGGUAGCCGGCCUGAGAGGGUGACCGGCCACCUUGGGACUGAGAUACGGCCCAGACUCCUACGUGAGGCAGCAGUGGGGAAUAUUGCACAAUGGGCGGAAGCCUGAUGCAGCAACGCCGCGUGCGGGAUGACGGCCUUCGGGUUGUAAACCGCUUUCGCCUGUGACGAAGCGUGAGUGACGGUAAUGGGUAAAGAAGCACCGGCUAACUACGUG